CUGUAUAUAAUUACAAAAGCAUUUCUCGUAGUGCUAAAAUUACAGUUGCUAAAGAAAUUACACAUCUUGGGGAAGGCCAAUGACUGCAGAGCAGCCGAAACGAAUAGAAAAAGUGAGAAAUAAGGCAACAAGGCGAUCGAGGAGAGAAAUGAGAAUUUGUACUUGAGUGGAAUUUUCUUCGCUUUCCUUCCCAGGGCAGCAAGAAAAACACCAACACAAACUCUCUCUGCUCAGAACAUGACGAACAACCUGUAAUACAAAAUUACUUCAAAAGAUUUAUCAACUCCCUCAGGCAUUCGAAGAUUGCGCAGCGGUGCCCAGAACAUUGCCUUGAAGAUCUUAAGAUUUACUUCCUAUUACAUUCCAUCCCGCCAUGUACUUUGAAAUUCUAUAU
rnacentral:lncRNA from 1 species